UCCUCAGCAAAGGCUGCAAAGCCUCCAUUCCAACCAAGAGGUGCAUAGGCACAGCACAGAAAGAUUCCUAGUCCUCUUCCCCACUUCGGUGCCCCACGCCGACGCAGCCCGCCACCACUGUUGGGCUGCGCAGCGGCACCACCCCUUUCUCCUCCCCCUCUCUCCCCCGUCACAUCCUCCUCCACCCAUUGCGGCAUAUAAAUCCCAGAUCCAGAUCUCCCCCACCCCCAGCUUCCCUCUUGCGUAGCCAGCCAGUCUGACCAUGUGAUCUCCCUCGCAGGUGUUUCUUGUGCUGCUCCGCGGCUGCCGUCCCUGCUUUCGGUUUCAGUUUCUUGCAUUGGUGCAAGGUUUAUUUUUGUCAGACUGUGUUCAUCUACAGGUGGUGCCUGGGCGCAGUGGUUUAUCGAUCCCUUCCUUGCCUUGUACAUGCUGAUCCGGGAGCGGUGGUUCAAGUGUUUCUUGUUGCAGCAGCUUUGCAGACAACGCGGGAAUCGGUCGAUAAACCUCUGCAUCCAGCUCUCACCUCGGUCCCUGCUCAUGGGUUCAUGUCUAAAUCUAAUGCCUUAACCUCAAAGCUAUGCUUGGUAUUACUGUGGUGAUAUAUUUGACUACUUGUUGCAUGGUCUGACUUGCAGAUCGACCGUGAUGCAUGUUUUCUUCACAAAGCUUCAGUUGUCUACAUGUAUUGUGAUGCUUGCAUGACGCAUAUGUUUGAUAUAGUACCUAGUCGAGGCACACACAAAUAUAGCUUGUUUACCUUUCUUUUCUUUAGAAGAAAAGGGAAAAGCAAAAAAAAAGGAAAUAAGUAGUAAAGCAUGUUCUUUUAUGCACCGGAGUCUAGCGGCACUUUACAUUUCCUUAAGCUAAUAACAUCUUAAUGACGUGUGGUUCUGAUUACAUGAUACUUAUAUAGCAUUUGGGUUACUCCACAAUACCAAGGUAAUGAAAUGUUUGGUCGGUUAGAGUUAGCUAGUGGGGAUAAGUUCCUUGCUCUAUAAAGCUUAGUAUUACUUGGAGCUAGGAACCAUUUAGGGAAGGUGGAUUGCUGGAUGCCCAGGGGAUCUUACUUGCUGCCGUCAUGCCUGGAAUAUGUUCAAAUUAUUGGGGGCGGAUCUCAUUCAGGACACCUCAAUAGUUCUAUUCUUAUUCAGAGGUAGCAUAUUGAAUAGUUAUAUUCUUUUCUGUUGCAAUGCUAAAAUCAGAUGAAAAGCUUAUUGGAGGCACGGAAUUUGUUUUAAGAUAAAUUCUUGGGAUUAUAUGACAGGCUCUGAAGUAUGAUAUAUAACUGCCUUUUAAUGCCAAAAUUGGAAGUAAUUGUUAUUAUUCUUACUUGGCCAGCUCUUGUUGUUUUUAUGCACUGUAGACUGUAAUACAAGAAUUGUUCAGUGCCACAAUCUUGUCUUUGCAAUGCCCUGCUGUUGUAUGAUCAAUGCUAAUUGUCAUAAGCCCAUAACCAAUACGGGGGUUAAGACACAAGCAGUUGCCAGAAAAUUGAAGCCAAGAUCUUUUGUUUUCUCUUAGAUUCUUUUUUCUUUUAAACCUAGGUUACUUUCUGCAGACUGAAGUUGUGUCAUGCAUAUUCUAACCAAAGAGAUUUUGACGCGAUCUAGACAGAAGAAGGGGAAAAAAGAUAUUAUCUAUUUGAUGCACAUGCACACACACAACACACAACACCGAUGUAUUACAGAUUGCAGCUAGAAAUAAAGUGAUUUCGACGGCGUGUUUUAGUAA